UACGAAGGGGGCUAGCGUUGUUCGGAAUUACUGGGCGUAAAGCGCACGUAGGCGGACUAUUAAGUCAGGGGUGAAAUCCCGGGGCUCAACCCCGGAACUGCCUUUGAUACUGGUAGUCUCGAGUCCGGAAGAGGUGAGUGGAAUUCCGAGUGUAGAGGUGAAAUUCGUAGAUAUUCGGAGGAACAUCAGUGGCGAAAGCGACUUCCUGGACCAGUACCGACGUUCAGGCACGAAAGCGUGGGGAGCAAACAGG
rnacentral:rRNA from 1 species